CCGGAAUCAUAUUUAUGGCCCCAUCUGUAUCUUUCUGGCGAUGCGCAUAUGAAAACGAAAUUAUUGAUAAGGCUGGCAUAGCUCCAUAUGUGCGAGCAUGUACUUACACAUAUACGACUUCAUUUGGACAACCAGUGAAUAAAAAAAAAAAGACAGAAAAGAUACAAGGAGAAACAAGGAGAAACCGAAAGGUGGAAAUCAGCUGCAGCAACAAAGUUUAUUGGCAACACACAACACACAGCACACAACACACAACGCGCAAGGAGCGAAGAAACCAAAAAACUGCAGAUCGACCGCCUGGGCUCAGCUUAUAGCAGUUGCUCCAGGUCCAGGUCCAACUCCAACUCCAGCUCCAGCUCCAAGUCCAGAUGCAGAUGGAGGACCAAGUCCGGGGAACUUUCCCUCGAAGCCGCAACGUGCCGCGUAUUUCAUUAUGAAUUGCUCUUAACGAUGUUCCAUUUUUCA